GAUGAACGCUAGCGGCAGGCCUAAUACAUGCAAGUCGAGGGGCAGCAGGGAUAGCAAUAUUCGCUGGCGACCGGCGCACGGGUGCGUAACACGUAUACAAUCUGCCUUUAACUGGGGGAUAGCCCGGAGAAAUCCGGAUUAAUACCCCAUAAUAAUUUGACUGGCAUCAGUUAGAUUUGAAAGCUCCGGCGGUUAGAGAUGAGUAUGCGACUGAUUAGCUAGUUGGUGAGGUAACGGCUCACCAAGGCAACGAUCAGUAGGGGAUCUGAGAGGACUU
rnacentral:rRNA from 1 species